rnacentral:rRNA from 1 species
AUAUUGCACAAUGGACGCAAGUCUGAUGCAGCAACGCCGCGUGUGUGAAGAAGGCUCUUGGGUCGUAAAGCACUUUCGAUUGGGAAGAAGGGGUCGGAUUCAAAUAGGGUUCGAUUCUGACGGUACCUAAAGAAGAAGCACCGGCUAACUCCGUGCCAGCAGCCGCGGUAAUACGGAGGGUGCGAGCAUUGUUCGGAAUUACUGGGCGUAAAGCGCGCGUAGGCGGGUCUUUAAGUCGAUUGUGAAAGCCCUGGGCUUAACCCGGGAACUGCAGUCGAUACUAUUGAUCUUGAAUACCUGAGAGGGUGUCGGAAUUCCCGGUGUAGGAGUGAAAUCCGUAGAUAUCGGGAGGAACAUCCGAGGCGAAGGCGGACACCUGGUGGUGUAUUGACGCUGAGGCGCGAAAGCGUGGGGAGCAAACAGG